rnacentral:rRNA from 1 species
UAUUGCUCUUCAACGAGGAAUCCCUAGUAAGCACAAGUCACUAGCUUGUGCUGAUUACGUCCCUGCCCUUUGUACACACCGCCCGUCGCUACUACCGAUUGAAUGGCUUAGUGAGGCCCUCGGAUCGUCGGUUAAAAACUGUAAAAGGUUUUUUUCUGGUGAGAAGUUGGUCAAACUUGGUCAUUUAGAGGAAGUAAAAGUCGUAACAAGGUUUCCGUAGGUGAACCUGCGGAAGGAUCAUUAUUAUUUGGGUUGGGUUUACUUUUCAAAAUUUUACUUUUUCGAUCUUCUUUUGACUUAAAAAAGUAAACUUUUGCCAAAUAAAUUUGACAAAUUUAUUUUCUCGCCCUAUUUAUUAGGGAGGAGCAAGAUGACCUUAUUUAAAACCAUCACUCUUACAAAUAUAUUUCGUAUUUAUUAUAUAAUAAUAAAAAAAGAUCACUUUCAACAACGGAUCUCUUGGUUCUCGCAUCGAUGAAGAACGUAGCGAAGUGCGAUAAGUAAUGUGAAUUGCAGAAUUCCGUGAAUCAUCGAAUUUUUGAACGCAAAUUGCACUCUCCGGUUUUCCGGGAGAGUAUGCCUGUUUGAGGGUCAGUUUAAUAAAAAUCGGGUUGUUGCUGUAUCAUUUCGCGGUGACGCUUCGGAAUUGGGUCAUCUUUGCCCUUUGGGCUUAAGCGACCUAAAAUUUUUUACGAUCCCGAACGUGUUUAAGAUUUUCUUAUACGUUCACGGUAUCGAAUCCUAUUAGAUGUGGCUGCCGUGUCGGUCUUCACGUCUAUAAUAAUAUCAUCAAAUGACCUCAGACAGGUAAGAGUACCCGCUGAACUUAAGCAUAUCAAUAAGCGGAGGAAAAGAAAAUAACAAUGAUUCCCUUUAGUAACGGCGAGUGAAGGGGGAUAAGCUCAAAUUUUAAAUCUACCAGGUUAACCUGGUCGAGUUGUAAUUUGAAGAAGCGUUUUCUGCGUCCGGGUCGGCCCAAAUCCUUUGGGAUAAGGUAUCAUGGAGGGUGAGAAUCCCGUUCGGUUGACCUCAGGAUGCUUUACGAUACGCUUUCAAAGAGUCGAGUUGUUUGGGAUUGCAGCUCAAAAUGGGAGGUAAAUUUCUCCUAAGGCUAAAUACCGGCGAGAGACCGAUAGCGAACAAGUACCGUGAGGGAAAGAUGAAAAGAACUUUGAAAAGAGAGUCAAAUAGUACGUGAAAUUGUUGAAAGGGAAACGAUUGAAGCCAGUCGUACCGGCGGGAAAUCAGCUUCUCGAGUGGGGGUUCGUGGGUGCGUGGAGCUUCGGCCUUCGUCGCUUGUGAUACCUUUGCUUCUGGGGCGUACUUUUCCGUGUGGUAGGUCAACAUCGGUUUUGAUUGCCAUAAAAUGACCGGAGGAAUGUGGCUUCGAUCUUGUAUUGGAGUGUUAUAGCCUCUGGUAGAUGUGGUGGUUGGGAUCGAGGAUUGCAACGAAUACCCUUUGGGCUUUCCGCCUGACCUCUGAAAGUCGCUUGGGUAUCGAAAGCUUGCUUAUGGUCAUUCAAGUUGGCGGUCAAAAGGUUAGAACGUGAUUAAAUUCGUUAAGGAUGUUGACGUAAUGGCUUUAAACGACCCGUCUUGAAACACGGACCAAGGAGUCUAACAUAUGUGCGAGUGUUU